CCUACGGGUGGCAGCAGUGGGGGAUAUUGCACAAUGGGGGAAACCCUGAUGCAGCGACGCCGCGUGUGGGAAGACGGUCUUCUGGAUUGUAAACCACUGUCCCCAGGGACGAAAAUGACGGUACCUGGGGAGGAAGCUCCGGCUAACUACGUGCCAGCAGCCGCGGUAAUACGGAGGGAGCAAGCGUUGUCCGGAAUUACUGGGUGUAAAGGGAGCGUAGGCGGGGAUGCAAGUUGGGUGUCAAAACUACCGGCUCAACCGAUAGUCGCACUCAAAACUGCAGCUCUUGAGUGAAGUCGAGGCAGGCGGAAUUCCUGGUGUAGCGGUGAAAUGCGUAGAUAUUAGGAGGAACACCAGUGGCGAAGGCGGCCUGCUGGGCUUUUACUGACGCUGAGGCUCGAAAGUGUGGGGAGCAAACAGGAUUAGAUACCCGGGUAGUC
rnacentral:rRNA from 1 species